GUUUCACUACAGCCUUUGCAGUACUGCCCUACUGUCUGAAAUACAACAGUACCCACCUACCCCACCUCUUUCCCAUUUUCUCAAUCAACUCUCAUCCCUCCAUAUUCCAUCCCAUUAUAUAUUGACCUUUCCAACCCCACUCACCCAUCCAUCUCCACCCCUUCUCACUAGGGCUUCUUCUAAACUAGAUUCUCUUUUCUCCCCUCAAAUCUAGGUUUUGCAUCAGAAACCAAGAUGUGAAAGUCAAAAUAACAUUUCUGGUUGUUUGUUGUAGUUUUGUGCCUAGCUAUUUAUCAAGUGCAGCUGGAUUCAGUGUUCAAAGAUUUGUUUCUGUUAUAUAUGCUGGAUUUUGAUAAACUUUUUGUCUUUGAAUUCUGUCUUGUAAAUUUAUUGUAGAUUUGUUGCUGGAUUGUACUCUCUUUCACCCUCUUUCCGUCCUAGAUCCCUAGAUUGUUUCGUUGUAAAAGUUCAGACUGCAUUAUUGGAUUAGUUGCAAUUUUCUUUCUUUUUAA